CCAAAACCGAACAAAUCACGUGUGUUUCUAUAUUUAGUGACAAACAUGUCCGAGUACCGUUGGUUGCUAUGAUACGUGAGCUUUAAGGGGAAAUAACUUAAUGAAUUUGAAAUAAUUCCAGGAAUUCCCGUUGUAAACAACCAUAUCAAGACAUAGUGCCCUAGCUUUGUUCUACAAAGACAAAACUGGAUAAAAAUAAACCGCGUAACCUGUUUGUGCAGUGGACUGUGACACAAAUUUUGGCGACAUUCAGACUAGCAGUAUGGAGCUGACGGACACCCAGAUUUAUAUAAUAAGUGGUGUAGCAGCGACUAUCGCUGUUUGUCUAAUUUGUUUGAUUGGCUGCUGCUGCAAAUACUGCUGUGGUGGGGGACGGAAAAGAAACAACGGCACACGGAGGAGUGAAAAAUCAUCUAAACCUAGGGUGACCAAAUGUACGUCAACCACCAUAGACCUUCACGGACAUUCAAGGCAGAGCGCCAUUCAAAAAACCAGAGACUUUAUCUGGUCCAGUAAACAAA